rnacentral:rRNA from 1 species
AUUGAACGCUGGCGGCAGGCUUAACACAUGCAAGUCGAGCGGGGGAAGGUAGCUUGCUACCGGACCUAGCGGCGGACGGGUGAGUAAUGCUUAGGAAUCUGCCUAUUAGUGGGGGACAACAUCUCGAAAGGGAUGCUAAUACCGCAUACGUCCUACGGGAGAAAGCAGGGGAUCUUCGGACCUUGCGCUAAUAGAUGAGCCUAAGUCGGAGUAGCUAGUUGGUGGGGUAAAGGCCUACCAAGGCGACGAUCUGUAGCGGGUCUGAGAGGAUGAGCCGCCACACUGGGACUGAGACACGGCCCAGACUCCUACGGGAGGUAGCAGUGGGGAAUAUUGGACGAUGGGGGGAACCCUGAUCCAGCCAUGCCGCGUGUGUGAAGUAGGCCUUAUGGUUGUAAAGCACUUUAAGCGAGGAGGAGGCUACUCUAGUUAAUACCUAGGGAUAGUGGACGUUACUCGCAGAAUAAGCACCGGCUAACUCUGUGCCAGCCGCCGCCGUAA